GGCUGUGUCAAUUUCCAUUACCACCAAUAGUGUAUCAGGAUUCCCUUUUCUCUGCAUCCUCUCGAACACUUGUUAUCUCUUGAUUUGUUGGCAUAGGCCAUUCUCACAGUGCCUCUUGUUGGACAGCAACAGAGAAGAAGAACACGAGAAGGCUGUGUCCCCACAUCAUGCCGGGCUUGGAAGACGCAGACCUCGAAACACUACCGGGUUCCAGAUGCCAGCAGGAUGCUGACCAGACUUCCCUGGACUGAAGACCCCACCAAUGUGUCCUGGAGCUCCGCUUCCUCAGAGACCCACC